rnacentral:rRNA from 1 species
AUGACAGAUGCAAUAGCAAAGUACUGGUGGGGUGAUGAUGACAACCACAAGCGUAUACAUUGGGAAACAUGGUGGAAACUUUGUUUGCCUAAGGAUAGAGGAGGACUGGGGUUCAGGGAUUUACAUAGCUUUAACCUUGCUCUACUUGCCAAACAAGUGUGGAGGCUGCUGGAAAACCCGGACUCUCUUUGUGCACAUAUUUUGAGGGCCAAAUAUUAUCCGGAUGGAAAAUUAUUAGAUGCUAAAUUGAAGAGUGGGAGCUCGUAUACAUGGCAGAGUAUUUGUGUUGGGAUUAACACGUUCAGGAGAGGCGCAAUAUGGCGCAUAGGAGAUGGUUCACAAGUGAAUAUCUGGUCUGUCCCGUGGAUUCAGUCUAGCGCUAAUGGACGUGUCAUUACACCAUGAGGUGCGACUCUGCUAUCUAAGGUUUCUGAUCUGAUUGAUCCUGUCACCGGUCUAUGGGACCAUGAGCUGAUAAAUAAUGUGUUCUGGCCGGUGGAUGCCCACCGAAUCUUGUCAAUCCCACUAGCACCGAAUGGAAUGAUGGAAGACUUUGUGGCUUGGAAAUUUACAAAGAACCAUAUCUUUUUGGUAAGAUCAGCUUACUAUGUUGAAUGGGAACACCAAUUUGCUUGCUGGUACGAAAGAACAGAGGGACAACUAUCUGAACGGCACCCGGUAUGGGCAAAUCUUUGGAGUUUCCAAGUUCCAGCGAAGAUCAAGAUCCAUGCAUGGAAGGUUUUACACGGAUUCAUUCCUUGCUAUGGGGUCCUGGUAAAUCGGCACAUUAGCACGGCGAAUAGUUGCCCUAUGUGUGCUGGUGGAUGUGAGGACAUCAUGCAAUCACUUUUUACUUUCCCGAGGGCAGCUGAAAUUUGCAGGUGUCUGAAGCUGGAUAAAUUCAUAGAAGAAGCUUGCUUGACUGAUAGGGCGGGAGCGGCAGCAUUGGACUAUAUUUUAUGUGCUCCGUCAUGA